AUUGAACGCUGGCGGCAUGCUUUACACAUGCAAGUCGGACGGCAGCACAGAGAAGCUUGCUUCUUGGGUGGCGAGAGGCGAACGGGUGAGUAACAUAUCGGAACGUACCGAGCAGUGGGGGAUAACUAAUCGAAAGAUUAGCUAAUACCGCAUAUAUUCUGAGGAAGAAAGCAGGGGACCAUUUGGCCUUGCGCUGUUUGAGUGGCCGAUAUCUGAUUAGCUAGUUGGUGGGGUAAAGGCCUACCAAGGCGACGAUCAGUAGCGGGUCUGAGAGGAUGAUCCGCCACACUGGGACUGAGACACGGCCCAGACUCCUACGGGAGGCAGCAGUGGGGAAUUUUGGACAAUGGGCGCAAGCCUGAUCCAGCCAUGCCGCGUGUCUGAAGAAGGCCUUCGGGUUGUAAAGGACUUUUGUCAGGGAAGAAAAGGGCGGGGUUAAUACCCCUGUCUGAUGACG
rnacentral:rRNA from 1 species